rnacentral:lncRNA from 1 species
AUUUGACAAAUCUGUUUGAUCUUCAACUGGCCAACAACUUUUUCAAUGGUUCCAUCCCUUCCACCAUUGGAAAUUUAUCCAGUCUUGUGAAGUUAAGUCUUUCUUCUAACCAACUUACUGGAACCCUUCCUCCUGAAAUAGGCAACCUCAAAAUGUUAGAAGAGUUGGACUUGAGCUCAAAUAAUUUGCAAGGAACUCUUCCCAUGUCAAUAACCAAUUUACAAAGCCUCACCCUGUUAUAUGUUUCAUUCAACAACUUCUCAGGAAGCAUUCCAGUUGAUUUUGGACCCAGAUUCUUAACAAAUGUGAGCUUCUCCUACAAUAAUUUUUCUGGAAAGCUGCCUCCAGGAAUUUGUAGAGGUGGGAACCUCAUCUAUUUAACUGCCAAUGUAAAUAAACUCGUGGGACCUAUUCCAGAAAGUCUUUGGAACUGCACAGGACUAACCAGAGUUAGGCUUGAGCAGAAUCGUCUGGAUGGAGAUAUCACGAAUGCAUUAGGCAUAUACCCAGAUCUGCAAUAUAUUGACUUGGGAGACAACCAGCUUUCUGGAAUGUUGACAUCAAACUGGGGAAAGUGCACCAAUCUCUCAAACUUUCGCAUAUCUGCUAAU